AGUCUGCAACUCGACUGCAUGAAGUCGGAAUCGCUAGUAAUCGCGGAUCAGCAUGCCGCGGUGAAUACGUUCCCGGGCCUUGUACACACCGCCCGUCACACCAUGAGAGUCGGGAACACCCGAAGUCCGUAGCCUAACCGCAAGGGGGGCGCGGCCGAAGGUGGGUUCGAUAAUUGGGGUGAAGUCGUAACAAGGUACC
rnacentral:rRNA from 1 species